rnacentral:rRNA from 1 species
UAACAAGGAUUCCCCUAGUAACUGCGAGUGAAGCGGGAAAAGCUCAAAUUUAAAAUCUGGCGGUCUUUGGCCGUCCGAGUUGUAGUCUGGAGAAGUGCUUUCCGCGCUGGACCGUGUAUAAGUCUCUUGGAACAGAGCGUCAUAGAGGGUGAGAAUCCCGUCUUUGACACGGACUACCAGUGCUUUGUGAUGCGCUCUCAAAGAGUCGAGUUGUUUGGGAAUGCAGCUCAAAAUGGGUGGUGAAUUCCAUCUAAAGCUAAAUAUUGGCGAGAGACCGAUAGCGAACAAGUACCGUGAGGGAAAGAUGAAAAGCACUUUGGAAAGAGAGUUAAACAGUACGUGAAAUUGCUGAAAGGGAAACGCUUGAAGUCAGUCGCGUCUGCCGGAACUCAGCCUUCCUUUUGGUUGGUGCACUUUCCGGUAGACGGGCCAGCAUCGAUUUCGACCGUCGGAUAAGGGCUGGGGAAAUGUGGCACCUUCGGGUGUGUUAUAGUCCUCAGUCGCAUACGGCGGUUGGGAUCGAGGAACGCAGCGCGCCGCAAGGCAGGGGUUCGCCCACUUUCGCGCUUAGGAUGCUGGCAUAAUGGCUUUAAACGACCCGUCUUGAAACACGGACCAAGGAGUCUAACAAACCUGCGAGUGUUUGGGUGGAAAACCCGAGCGCGUAAUGAAAGUGAAAGUUGAGACCUCUGUCGUGGAGGGCAUCGACGCCCGGACCUGACGUUCUCUGACGGAUCCGCGGUAGARCAUGUUUGUUGGGACCCGAAAGAUGGUGAACUAUGCCUGAAUAGGGUGAAGCCAGAGGAAACUCUGGUGGAGGCUCGUAGCGAUUCUGACGUGCAAAUCGAUCGUCAAAUU